GUAAAUUUGUAAUUAGCAAAUUAGAACAAGUUUUGAUAAAAAUAAAACAAAAGUGGUCAUCUUCUCUAAUGUUUCUUUUCCACCGAAAAACACCAUAGUAGAAGGAAUUUAAGCUUCGGUUGUGGAAUGUCUUGCAUAUCAAGAAACGAGUAAAGUGGGUGUUAACCGAGGGAAGGAGAAAGUUGUCGAAUAAUCAACUCCGAUCAACGGAAGCAAACGUAAUUUUAGUUAGGUACUUAACUUUGAUUGUCAACUCAGCAUCCAAAGAUAAACCUGAAUCAACGUUGGUGAUGUACUCUUUUUGUGUCUUGGCAUGUACUUAAGAUGUUAAUAGUUUUAGAAAUGGUCAUUUUGUGUAUUAGUUAGUUUUGUGAAGGUUAUGUAUGUUUGUUAUGUGAAUUUGGGCUAUGUUUUGUAUUAGUUGAAAAUACUUGUGUAUAUGGUUGAUGAUAUAUGUUAAAUGAAAUUGGUUCUUUUGGAA